AUUGACCGCUGGCGGCAGGCCUAACACAUGCAAGUCGAACGAGUGGCGGACGGGUGCGUAAUGUCUGGGAAACUGCCUGAUGGAGGGGGAUAACUACUGGAAAAGGUAGCUAAUACCGCAUACCAUCAUAUGUGCCCAGAUUGGAGUAGCUUGUUGGUUUGGUAACGGCUCAUCAAGGCGACGAGCCCUAGCUGGUCUGAGAGGAUGACAAGCCACACUGGAACUGAGACAAGGUCCAGACUCCUACGGGAGGCAGCAGGGGGGAAUAUGGCACAAUGGGCGCAAGCCUGAUGCAGCCAUGCCGCGUGUAUGAAGAAGGCCUUCGGGUUGUAAAGUACUUUCAGCGGGGAGGCGUUACCCGCAGAAGAAGCACCGGCUAACGCCGUGCCAGCAGCCGCGGUAAUUC
rnacentral:rRNA from 1 species